UCUUUUCGGAGUGACGUUCAAAGAGGAAAGUGGCGGACGGGCGAGUAACGCGUGAGUAACCUGCCCAUAAGAGGGGGAUAAUCCAUGGAAACGUGGACUAAUACCGCAUAUUGUAGUUAAGUUGCAUGACUUGAUUAUGAAAGAUUUAUCGCUUAUGGAUGGACUCGCGUCAGAUUAGAUAGUUGGUGAGGUAACGGCUCACCAAGUCAACGAUCUGUAGCCGAACUGAGAGGUUGAUCGGCCGCAUUGGGACUGAGACACGGCCCAAACUCC
rnacentral:rRNA from 1 species